GACCUGAUAGCACAGCUGGUAGUGCAUCUACUGAAAGUAAAGAAAUUGCUGUGGGCUUAAGCAGAAGACCUUCGUUCGAUUCGGGGUCAGGUCA